rnacentral:rRNA from 1 species
ACAUGGUUAACCUACCCACAGGACAGGGACAAACCCGGGAAACUGGGGCUAAUACCAGAUAGGCGAGGACGCCUGGAAUGGUUCUUCACCCAAAGGACUUUGGAAGCAUGCUUUCAAAGUCGCCUGGGGAUGGGGCCGCGUCCGAUCAGGUUGUUGGUGAGGUAACGGCUCACCAAGCCUAUAACCGGCACGGGCCGUGAGAGCGGUAGCCUGGAGAUGGGCACUGAGACAAGGGCCCAGGCCCUACGGGGCGCAGCAGUCGCGAAAACUCCGCAAUGCACGAAAGUGUGACGGGGCUACCCCGAGUGCCGUCCGCUGAGGAUGGCUUUUCCUCGGUGUAACUAGCCGGGGGAAUAAGGAGAGGGCAAGACUGGUGUCAGCCGCCGCGGUAAAACCAGCUCUUCAAGUGGUCGGGAUGAUUAUUGGGCUUAAAGUGUCCGUAGCCGGUUUAGUAAGUUCCUGGUAAAAUCGGGUAGCUUAACUAUCUGUAUGCUAGGAAUACUGCUAUACUAG